UACGAAGGGGGCUAGCGUUGCUCGGAAUCACUGGGCGUAAAGGGUGCGUAGGCGGGCCUUUAAGUCAGGGGUGAAAUCCUGGAGCUCAACUCCAGAACUGCCUUUGAUACUGAAGAUCUUGAGUUCGGGAGAGGUGAGUGGAACUGCGAGUGUAGAGGUGAAAUUCGUAGAUAUUCGCAAGAACACCAGUGGCGAAGGCGGCUCACUGGCCCGGUACUGACGCUGAGGUGCGAAAGCGUGGGGAGCAAACAGG
rnacentral:rRNA from 1 species